ACGUAGGGCGCGAGCGUUGUCCGGAAUUAUUGGGCGUAAAGAGCUUGUAGGCGGUUUGUCGCGUCUGCUGUGAAAGGCCGGGGCUUAACCCCGUGUAUUGCAGUGGGUACGGGCAGACUAGAGUGCAGUAGGGGAGACUGGAAUUCCUGGUGUAGCGGUGGAAUGCGCAGAUAUCAGGAGGAACACCGAUGGCGAAGGCAGGUCUCUGGGCUGUAACUGACGCUGAGAAGCGAAAGCAUGGGGAGCGAACAGG
rnacentral:rRNA from 1 species